rnacentral:rRNA from 1 species
UAGAUACCCUGGUAGUCCACGCCGUAAACGAUGUCGACUUGGAGGUUGUGCCCUUGAGGCGUGGCUUCCGGAGCUAACGCGUUAAGUCGACCGCCUGGGGAGUACGGCCGCAAGGUUAAAACUCAAAUGAAUUGACGGGGGCCCGCACAAGCGGUGGAGCAUGUGGUUUAAUUCGAUGCAACGCGAAGAACCUUACCUGGUCUUGACAUCCACGGAAGUUUUCAGAGAUGAGAAUGUGCCUUCGGGAACC